AACGUAGGACGCAAGCGUUAUCCGGAGUUACUGGGCGUAAAGGGCAGGCAGGCGGGUCGAUAAGUCGGAUGUGAAAUCUCCCUGGCUUAACCGGGAGAGUGCAUUUGAGACUGUCAACCUGGAGGGCAGCAGAGGAGCGUGGAAUUCCGGGUGUAGUGGUGAAAUGCGUAGAGAUCCGGAGGAACACCAGUGGCGAAGGCGACACGCUGGGCCAUACCUGACGCUAAAGCGCGACAGCAUGGGGAGCAAACGGG
rnacentral:rRNA from 1 species